rnacentral:rRNA from 1 species
UACGUAGGGUGCAAGCGUUGUCCGGAAUUAUUGGGCGUAAAGAGCUCGUAGGCGGUCUGUCGCGUCGGCUGUGAAAACCCGGGGCUCAACCCCGGGCCUGCAGUCGAUACGGGCAGACUAGAGUGCGGUAGGGGAGACUGGAAUUCCUGGUGUAGCGGUGAAAUGCGCAGAUAUCAGGAGGAACACCGAUGGCGAAGGCAGGUCUCUGGGCCAUUACUGACGCUGAGAAGCGAAAGCAUGGGGAGCGAACAGG